CAUGGCCAUANUAGCGCGGUGGUCCCACCUGACCCCAUGCCGAACUCAGAAGUGAAACGCCGUAGCGCCGAUGGUAGUGUGGGGUCUCCCCAUGUGAGAGUAGGGAACUGCCAGGC
rnacentral:rRNA from 1 species